rnacentral:rRNA from 1 species
GUAGGUGGCAAGCGUUGUCCGGAAUUAUUGGGCGUAAAGCGCGCGCAGGCGGUUCUUUAAGUCUGAUGUGAAAGCCCACGGCUCAACCGUGGAGGGUCAUUGGAAACUGGAGAACUUGAGUACAGAAGAGGAAAGCGGAAUUCCACGUGUAGCGGUGAAAUGCGUAGAGAUGUGGAGGAACACCAGUGGCGAAGGCGGCUUUCUGGUCUGUAACUGACGCUGAGGCGCGAAAGCGUGGGGAGCAUACAGGAUUAGAUACCCUGGUAGUCCACGCCGUAAACGAUGAGUGCUAAGUGUUAGGGGGUUUUCCGCCCCCCUUAGUGCUGCAGCUAACGCAUUAAGCACUCCGCCUGGGAGUACGGCCGCAAGGCUG